rnacentral:rRNA from 1 species
CCUACGGGAGGCAGCAGUGGGGGAUAUUGCACAAUGGGGGAAACCCUGAUGCAGCGACGCCGCGUGGGUGAAGAAGCGCCUCGGCGCGUAAAGCCCUGUCAGCAGGGAAGAAAAUGACGGUACCUGAAGAAGAAGCCGCGGCUAACUACGUGCCAGCAGCCGCGGUAAUACGUAGGGGGCAAGCGUUAUCCGGAUUUACUGGGUGUAAAGGGGGCGCAGACGGCGCUGCAAGCCAGGAGGGACAGCCCGGGGCCCAACCCCGGGACUGCUCUUGGAACUGCGUGGCUAGAGUGCAGGAGGGGCAGGCGGAAUUCCUGGUGUAGCGGUGAAAUGCGUAGAUAUCAGGCGGAACACCGGUGGCGAAGGCGGCCUGCUGGACUGCAACUGACGUUGAGGCCCGAAAGCGUGGGGAGCAAACAGGAUUAGAUACCCCGGUAGUC